AGUGAACGCUGGCGGUAGGCCUAACACAUGCAAGUCGAACGGCAGCACAGUAAGAGCUUGCUCUUACGGGUGGCGAGUGGCGGACGGGUGAGGAAUACAUCGGAAUCUACUUUUUCGUGGGGGAUAACGUAGGGAAACUUACGCUAAUACCGCAUACGACCUACGGGUGAAAGCAGGGGAUCUUCGGACCUUGCGCGAUUGAAUGAGCCGAUGUCGGAUUAGCUAGUUGGCGGGGUAAAGGCCCACCAAGGCGACGAUCCGUAGCUGGUCUGAGAGGAUGAUCAGGCAAACUGGAAAUGGGAAAAGGUCCAGAAUACUAAGGGAGGCAGCAGUGGGGAAUAUUGGAAAAAGGGGGGAAACCUGAACCAGGCAUACCGCGUGGGUGAAGAAGGGCUUCGGGGUGGAAAGGCCUUUUUUUGGGAAAGAAAAGCAGCAGGUUAAUACCCCGCUGUUCUGAAGGUAACCAAAGAAUAAGCACCGGCUAACUUCGUG
rnacentral:rRNA from 1 species